UACAGAGGUCUCAAGCGUUGUUCGGAUUCAUUGGGCGUAAAGGGCGCGUAGGCGGCGGGGUAAGUCUGGUGUGAAAUCUCGGAGCUCAACUCCGAAAUUGCACUGGAUACUGCUCUGCUUGAGGGUUGGAGAGGAGAUCGGAAUUCACGGUGUAGCAGUGAAAUGCGUAGAUAAUCGUGAGGAAGACCAGUGGCGAAGGCGGAUCUCUGGACAAAUCCUGACGCUGAGGCGCGAAGGCUAGGGGAGCAAACGGG
rnacentral:rRNA from 1 species